AAAGAACCUUAACUAGAAGGACUUUUUUGUUCCUCAAUCUACGAGUUUGAUAGUCUAAGACUUCGACUGGAAUCUCUUCAUAAGAGAGAGUGUUCUGAACAUCAAUUCUCUUAAUAGGGACUACAACUACUGGGUCACCUAUGCACUUCUUGAGCAAAGAGACAUGGAAGACUGGAUGGACUGAGGCUAGAUCUGAAGGCAAUUCGAGCUCAUAUGCUACCACGCCG
rnacentral:lncRNA from 1 species